rnacentral:lncRNA from 1 species
GUAAUGUCUUCAUUCUGCUAUCAAACAUCAUUAAGGGCAAUGGUAACAUCAUCGGUCUCAGCAGCAGCAUUAGAUUAACACAGUGAUUGGCAACCUACAAAUGCCAGGCACUUGGAAGCAGCAUACCACAUCUUCAGUUUACAUCUUUUCCAUACUCUGCUCUAUGUAUUGGUUUCGAGCAGCUGCAUCUUGUGAAGACAAGGCUUAGAGCUGCGCUGUUCGGAAGAAGCGAGAUUGUCUUCCCUUACAGCUACGACGCUGCAUCGCUCUCGGCGUAUCCUGCUUUUUCCCCAUUUACCUGGGCGGCUGCUGCUGCUGUUUCUGCUGCUGCUACUGGGGCUGCUGCAGUCUCACUGCCUGUGCUUCACCCUGGCAUGUCUGAUUUGAGACUCACUCGUCUGCACACUGCUAAGGAAGAGCAGCGAUGGAACUUUGUGCGCAUUUUUUUCCUAUUGCUGCUGGAAAAGAAGGGUUGCAAUGUAGGGUGUUUUUCUGGGGGUUGAGGUGGGCUGUUAAUCUAAGGUGGGAUGGGAGAAAGUUUAAGGAAAUAUGACGCAAAGUAAUUCAGUACACAACAAGGGCAUCAGCAGCAAGAAUCCAGCCUUUGUGGCUCGAAAGGAUUAACGUGGGAGAAGCCACAGUGAUGCAGUAGUGCUUCACCUCAGCAUUGUGCUGGAGAUGGAUAAAUAAAGGUACCCGUUGUGUCCGCCUGUGAGGGUAA